GGGAGGUAGGUGACAAUAAAUAACAAUACGGGGUUCUUUCGGAUCUCGUAAUUGGAAUGAGUACAAUUUAAAUCUCUUAACGAGGAACAAUUGGAGGGCAAGUCUGGUGCCAGCAGCCGCGGUAAUUCCAGCUCCAAUAGCGUAUAUUAAAGUUGUUGCAGUUAAAAAGCUCGUAGUUGAAUUUCGGGAUCAAUAUGUUGGUCGUGCCUUGGUACGUACUGGCGUCAUUGGUUUCUACCUUCUGAAGAACCUCGAUGUCAUUAAUUUGGUGUCUUGGGGAAUCAGGACUGUUACUUUGAAAAAAUUAGAGUGUUUAAAGCAGGCUCACGCUUGAAUACAUUAGCAUGGAAUAAUGAAAUAGGACGUUUGAUUCUAUUUUGUUGGUUUCUAGGAUCGACGUAAUGAUUAAUAGGGAUAGUUGGG
rnacentral:rRNA from 1 species